AUGGAAACCAGAUGGCACUUUCCUUGAGUCUGCUUUGUUCUCCUUUAGCAGGCUCCUUACAAAAGCUGCCCAGAAGAGGCUGCUCCAGGCCGACUCAGCAUGAGAAAACAGCAGAAUCCAGCCAUCUAAGAAGGAUUUCUCAGGUUUCUUGGCUGUCUUGGACUCACUUUGUAGACCAGGCUGGCCUUGAGCUCACAGCGAUCUGCUUGCCUCCACCUCCCUGAGUGCUGGCACACACAACCUCGCAGAAUCACAGACAACAGGUGGAAAGGAAUUAAUGAGGAGACGAGAAAGCAAAGCACGAAGUCCAGCCAUGCCUGCGAGGCUCCGCUGUGGAUGAAUGGAUGGUGCAGGUCGCGUCGUUGAAGUAGAGAAUUUUCUUUCAGAAAUUUAAUCACCUGGGGUGGAGGCCAGUUGAAGGCGGUUUGAAGCCAAGCUCCAGCUAGACCCGUUUUGUUCCUGGGUCUCCUAGCCAGGGAAAAUAGAGGACACAGAACAUGAUGAUAUACUGUCACCCCUCAGGGGCAACACAUACUAUUUGAGCCGUUCGUGCGCUACCAGGAAAUGCCUGCCGCUAAGGAGGAUUAGGCCAAGGUUGCCCAGAGGGCAUGAGUUCAUGGACUCUGCUUCCCUUGGGUCCCUGCGCAGUGAAUGGCUGUCGGAUCAUUUCCUGAAGCUUGCCUAGAGGUGGAAGAAGAGAUUUGCCUGCAAGCUGGCUGAGGUCCUAGCUGUCAUUAGAGGGAUGUCCUGCACCCUUCUCCAAGCCGUUCCGGGUGGGCGGACGCGACCUUGUCCUUUUUGGCAGCACAGGGCUCCGGCUCUCAUGUGCAGGGAAAUCCGCUGCCCAGCUGCCAGCAGGCGGAGGUGACGGAAAAGGAGGAGCGCCACCUAGUGUCGGUUCCAAGCACAACCAAAGGCAUCCGGACUCUAACCCUCUUCGCAAGGAAGAGCAGUCAGUGUUGGAACAAACACACCUCUGCCUUCUCGCAAUGAAGAGCACUACCCGCACCCCACCUCCCCCCGAACCCCAAAAAUAUCUAAAGAUGCUGAGAUGUGGGGAAAUGACACUGUGUGACUAAAUGGAACCAGCAACCAAGGAGAAACAAGUCGUCUUAAGACCUUGCCGAGAAACGGAGCUCACCGCGGGUGGGCCCGCGCACUGAGUCCUGCGCAUGCAUAGCUUUUGGGCAUUUGUUUGCGUGACUGACCAGCCACAUCGCUUCUCACACGCUAAACAUUGGUAUAUCUUGUCCAACUGUGGGCAAAGGGGGAUGCAGACGCAGCCAUGCAGUUCUGCUAGUACGGAGACUAAAGCUAGAGAACCGCAGACUGAGACCUGCCUGGGUGGAACUCCAAGUUCAAGGCCAGCCAGCCGGGGUAACCCCGUGAGACGCUACUCAAAACAAAAAGUGAAGAAAGGGAUGAAUUCAGUGUGGCACGAUGGGCCAGCGUACACAAGGCCUAAGUCCGGUCUCUCUGGAGUGAUGUGUGUGUGUGUGUGUGUGUGUGUUAGAGUGAGCAAUGCAUACAAGUCUGUGAGACACAGACUUGAUUCUGUUGUCCUUGUGCUCUUUCGGUAGUGACACUCCUUGGUGGUUUGAGUGCCGUUUCCUCCUUUGCGAUUGCCAGCCUAUUUCCAUGUGUUUCCCGUGUGGACAUUCCCCUUUGCUGCUCGUUUAAUAAGAUCUUGUCCUUUCCUUAAAGUCUGUGUGCGACACCCUGCAGAUAAGACACCUUUAUCAAUAUGUACUUGUGUGAGCUCCCUCCGCUCCUGGCUUACUGUUUCAGUCUCUCAAUGAUGUCUGGGUGAAGAGAGGUUUCUAACGGAAUGUUUUUAGAUUAAUCUCUCAGUACUUGACAUUUCAUGAUUCUGUAAGUGUUCUUUGGGGUGGGGGGGGGGGGAGGGAAGACUGAACAAGGUUUCUCCGUGUAGCCUUGGUUGUCCUGGACUCGCUUUGUAGACCAGGCUGGCCUUGAACUCACAGAGAUCUGCCUGCCUCUGCCUCUGCCUCUGCCUCUGCCUCUGCCUCUGCCUCUGCCUCUGCCUCUGCCUCUGCCUCUGCCUCUGCCUCUGCCUCUGCCUCUGCCUCAGUGCUGGGAUUACAGGCAUGUGCCACUACGCCUGGCUACAAGUGAUCUUUUUUUUAAAGAUAGAACUUUUAGGGCAGUUUUAGGGUUACAGGAAAAUUGAGAGAAGGAACAGAGGUUUCUUUUACAUCCCUCUCCCGGCCAUAUACACCUACAUAUACAUGCAUACACCUAUACCAACAUGCAGUGGCUGCCCCUACUGCCAAGACGUCAUUGUAAUCCCAAAUCUGUCAUGCACAUUUAUGUUUGGUGCGGUAUGUUCUAGAAGUUUUGGAAAAUGUAGUAGCAGCAUUCCCCAAGGUAGAAUAUUUUAAAUAAAUGUCAUGAAAACACACAGCACUUUCUCCGUGUUAAAGUCUUUUGUGUCUCACCCUUCCUGCUGUCUACUCCAUAGCUGUGCACAGUCCAGAAUGCCAUACAGUGAGGCUCAAACGUGGCCUGUUUCAGACAGUGUGAUGUGUCUACAUCUCUACAUACUUCCUUGGCUCGACAACUCAUCCUUUUAUAGUGCUGAAUUUUCCAUCCACUGGAUGAACUAAGUUAUUUUAGUUAGGGUUAGUAUUGCUGUGAUGAAACAUUAGAAGUGGUAUAAGGUGAAAAAGGGUUUAUUUUUCUCACAGUUCCACCUCACAGUUCAUCACCAAAAGCAGUGAGGGCAGGAAUUCACCCAGGUCAGGAACCUGGCGGCAGGAGCUGAUGCAGAGGCCCUGGAGAAAUGCUGCUUACUGGCUUGCUUCCCACACUGCUCAGCCUGCUUUCUUACAGAACUCAGGCUCCCAGCCCAGGGUUGACCUCCCCCACUAUGGACUGGGCCCUCUCCCACAUACCGUUAACUUAAAAUGCCCUUCAGACAAGUGUGAUCUUAUGGAGAGAUUUUCUCAGUUGUGGCUACCUCUUCUCCCAUGACUUUAGCUUGUGUCGAGUUGAAAUAAAACUAGGCAGUAAAACAUUUUUCCAAUUAUAUGCUAAAAAACAAACAAACAAACAAACAAACAAACACAUCACCAUUCAGCUCUCUUAGCCGAUAUAGCGAAACCUUGCUUUCAAGGUUUCCGUUUCCUGUUUUGAGGCAGGGUCCCAUCUAGUCCAGCUGACUUCAAACUCGUGCUAUAUAUGUGGUUAUUAGACUUCUAUCUAGUAUUUUAUUUUAAGCAAAUGCUAAUAUGAACAGUGUUGCAUUUCUAAUUCCAAAUUCCACUUGUUUAUUACUGGCACGUGAGAAAAUGAUUCACUCUGUGUAUUAACUUUGUAACCUACAACUUUUCUGCAGUCACUUCCAAGAGUGUUUGGUCAAUUCUUUCAGAUUGUCUACAGAAACAUUUAGUGAGCUGUAAACAAAGAGCGUCUUAUUUCUUCCUUUCCUGUCUGUGUGUCUGACUACAGCAGCAGUGUUACGUUUUAAGCCCUGGGGCUGACGGGAAGGUAGGUAGGUGCUCAGGGAAAGGUUAGGACAGUCACACCUCAGUCUCAGCAGCAGCCGCAGAAACAACUUCAGUAGCUCUAAGUUACCCCUGAAAGGUUGCUAAGAAAUACCCCCUCCCACUCCUUUAAAGAAAUAACAUUGUGGGGUGCAUGACUGUGCUUCUGGGGGAAACCAGCAAGGAGCUGGAACAAGGUCUAGACCUGUCCAAACCACAAAAAUCUCAGUCUUGAGACCAGCAGGAGUGAAGCUAUCUCCCUCCCUGUUCUGUGCCUGCAAUGCCCAGUGCACAUAGCCUAGUACCUGAAAUUCCAUGCAAAUAAAGCAUCCAUUAGCCCCAGCCAGUAAUGUGCACUCACGCUGAAAACCCUUACCCGCUUCUCCAAAGUUUAGAUAGCCGUUAUACUUCCCCAAUAAAGAGAGCAGCAUCACCAAAAGAGCUGUUUCGUUGUAUUGUCUAAGAGAGCUGUAACACUAAAAUCCUCAGAGAAGCCCACUCCCACGCCAGCCCUCACCCCUCCCUUCCCCCAAACUCCAAACUUCCAUCUAGACCGGGGCCCUGCAGACCCACUGGCCCCAGCUCAGUGCGCAGUGGUGUGUGGAUACCCCAAAAUAAGAAGCAGAUCACAGGACCACAUAAUACUAUAGGUUGCUCUGAAGAUGCCUUGGAUGGGGUUACAAUCUGAUGAGAUAAGGCCAUGGGUCACAAAGGAGGUUUCCUAAGGAGGUUAAGAUAUGCCUUUUACUGCAAAUGUGCUCCUGAUGAGAUUCCUAGAAAAUUAUAGCUCUACAGUUGGACGAAGAGAAAGGCCAUCCUCAAAGGUCAUGUACACCUGGGCUUUAAGCACAGUUCAUUGUUAUUUUAACACUCUUAUUUAAAUCAAUAUUUUCUCUCUGUGGCAACCCUCAAAGGAAAUAUUGUUAAUUAUGAUGAAAUGAGAUGCUUCGGUCAGGCAUCAAAUUGGGGGUGGGGAUUUCUUGAUUUUCUAGGUUUCUCUAUUCUGCGUUGGAAUGAUUCUGCAUCGUGUGUGUGUGUGUGUGUGUGUGUGUGUGUGUACACCACCACCUACCUGUAUCCGCUGAGAGCACAGACUGAUAAAUAACUUAUUACUACCACUAUGAAGGUACCACUAUGAAGGUCUGUACCACCUACAGACUUAGAUUGGGAACAUAUGAGCACUAGUAUACCAUAUUACAAAAGCCAGUCUGAGAACUUAUUGGCUACAUCAGACUAACACAGGCACAAAGACCCUUAGCUUAUAAUGCCAUUUACUGCAAUGCCACAGUUCUGCUUGUCAUCGAACCGCCAGCGUGGGCAUCAAGGGACAGACAGGUGGAAAGCUCUGUGCUGUCUCUAGAGCUUCAACUUAGCAUGCUACAAGGCCUCCUAGAAUCAUUUUUUGCACAUCCAUCCAUCCAUCCAUCCAUCCAUCUGUCUAUCUGACCGUACCUGGUCCUGUGCUUUGCCUCCAAGGUCCUCUGACCUCUAUGGGACGACCCUCCUGCUUCCUCUCCAAGACGCUCUCUGAGUGAAUUAAUACCUUAUUUCUUACCUCCCUUUGUGUCUGUAUGGGCUCUAUACCUUUGCUUCCAGUAGCUCUCUCUGAAUGCCCCAGCUUCUUUAACCCUUUUGUAUUGUGUGUGUGUACACAUACACAUAUAGAUACUACAUACUGCUACACACACAUACACACACAAUCACACAAUGCAAUGUACGCGUAUCCUGUGAUAUGAACAGCCAACACAGGCUACUUGGUGAAUUACAGUCAACAAAACCAAUGGAGCAUGUAUAUUUAAUGUUACUCACUAAACUCUGACAUUGUGGAAAGGCACAUACAUUUCUGUCUAUGUAAGCUAGCACUCAUUUCUCUCUCUCUCUCUCUCUCUCUCUCUCUCUCUCUCUCUUUUUCUUCUUCAAACUCUUCAUAAAAGUUUCCAGUAAACAUCAGAUCAGUAUGUCAUGUGACUGGAGUCCAAGCCUAGAGGCUGGACACUAUAGGAUGAUACAACAAAUUAGCUCUAACCACGGGGAAAUCCAUUCCAAUGGAAGCCCAGAUAUAAGGAGGUCCAAGGUGAGUGUAUCUAACUUUUUUUUUUUAAGACACCAGAACCCAGUUUCUAAUCCUUCCAAGGUGGACAGAGACCAGUGGCUCUCCAGGAAUCCUCCAGGCCUUCAUCACAGGACUGCUGAGGAUCUACCGUCACGGACCUAGGCCAUAGGGGUUGUCAGCUUCUGCAGUGUGCAGCCACUGUUACAGACUACCCAAGCGUGUAUCAUGUGACCCCUGUGAAAGGAGUGUUUGCUCUCCAACCCACAGUUUAAGAGCUGCUGCUCUAGAAGAACCCAAAUACUGUUUGUCUGUACUCAUAAAAUAACUUAAUCAUGAAAUAAUUGACCAACUACUGCAGGAAGUCACAACGAAAGUCAUAUAUAUAUAUUGUUAGCCCUCGGGAAGCCAUACUGUGACUCCUCUCCAUUCCCUAAACUCACUGUGCUCCAAUCACUCCGAUGUCCAUAAAGUCACUCAACAUUUCCAAAUGUUUGUGAAACUAAAUCCUGUGUUAUUUCUACAGAUCCUUAAUAUGGAAAAGAAAGAGUACAUUCCUUGAAAGAAAUUAAGAUUUGCCUUGCCAAGUUCAAUGUUUUGCUCCCAGGAGGCAUUCAUCUAUUAGUCAUGUAGGGCCUCCUUCUCUUCACUGAACCCAAGUUACUUCUUCUGAGGCUCUUGUUCAUUCAUUUUAUUAAGACCGCUCAGAUUCCCAAGUGGUAAGGCAACCAAUGAAGCCUGGAACAUUUGUUCAGUCUGCUUGUCCUGUUCCACUCCACAAAUUUAUGGAGACACUUUAUACUAUAAUUUUAAGGAGAGAACAGCACAGAAAGUUUAGAAAGAAAAAGUUCUCAGGGAAAGCUAGGGAAAUCAAAUUAACUGGGCAGGUUUGGUUCUCACAAAAAUAUUGCCUUUGUCCGAGUUCUCUCUGGGGUCCACUCUACAAACAAGUCAAGUCUGUGAAGAAAAGUCCAGUGGAAUUCAGCCCCAGAGGAAGCUUGUUAAUUUUAAAAGUAAAAGAAAGAAUUUGAGAUUUCAGCAUUUUUUUUUUUUUUUUUUUAAAUCAUAAGUAGUGACUGUUUGGGUCCAUGAAGCUUUACAAUGGAAAAGACAUCAUGAAUUACAAACCACACUCAUCCUGUUGAUAGUGAAAUGGCAGCCCAAAGGCAUUGCUGGAUUGGCUUUAUGGUCACACACAUCCUUAUUAGUGGGUGGAGAAAGGAACUGAAGACUCCACAUCUGAGGACCAGUCUCUCUGUCCCAUCAUGACAGCUACCUUAGGCCACCAGGCAUUUUCAAGUAACAUCUUUUUAGAGUUCCACCUUUUUGACAGCCCAUGAGAACCCUGAGGAUCAGAACAUAACCACUCUCUACAGGAAACCAGGACAUGCUCCCCCAAUAAUUCUGGUGUAUUUUCAGAUGACUAUUCUAGGAAACUACAGACAUAAAAGCAGCUCUGGAAAGGCACCCUUUGUAAAAGAAUUUGCAUUUAGAAAAAGGUCUCAAUUAAGUACCUUGAAAAGAGUUGCUUGCCUUCACUACCUCCAGAAGCCCUAAGCCCAUAUUUCUUCACAUAGCUCAACAUGCUGUGUAAGGCUGAGUCACCAGCCCCUUUUUGAGUCUUAGAUUUUGUGGGAACCAUGUGUGCCACAUGUGUACAUAAUCAGAUGGUUUUUUCUCCUCUAAUCUAUCUUAUGUCAAUUUAAUUGUAACCAAGCUAAAGAACUCCCCCCCCCAAAAAAAAAAUAUAGUGACCGAGCCUGCUCAGUCAGGUAAUGUGAACCUCGGAGAGGGAGUGAGGAUUAAGAAAAGAAAAAGAUAAGAGACAGAGAUCAGUAGGUUCUUGGCAAAUGCUGAGACAAGUUUAUUUUCUCCUGUCAUCUCUUUAUACCAACAGCCCUUACAUAAGCUUUUUAUAGGAGGACAAUUAAUACAAUAAGUGAAGUCUAAGCCAAGAUGAAAAAUGCAGAUGUGUAUACAGAAAAUUAACCAACUUUCCUAUCGAACUUCCUUAUGACGCAUCUUAAAGUCUGUGGAGCGUUUCACUCUGAACUUUCUCAGGCAAUAAGAAUAGGUCAAGAAUCAAUCUUCCCAUGUGAAAAGGCAAGCCAUUAAUCAAGCCUUAAAUAACUCACAUAUUGCUUGAACAGCUUCCACUAGUAUAGGGAAAACCUUUCUUCAUUCUCUAUAACCUGAAACCUGAUAAAAAUGCUCUUUAUGGAUUGUGCUUAUCAUUACACUGUCAGUUUGCUGCAUUGCUUUCCCUAUAGAGACACAUAGAGAUAUUUGUUCAUUCCUGCUUUCACCUGUCUGACCUGUCUACGGUAGGUCUAUAAAACAAACUUUGACAAAGUGACUGUUGACUAUUGUCCUGUUGACAGAGUCUUUGGUGAUGGUCCUAUUUGGAGGCAGAUCCAAUACCCUUUGCCUAAGAAUCUAUACAGCCUCUGUAUUGAUUAAUUUGAUAAUAUAAUUAAUAUAAUAGAGAAGGCAUUAUUGUCCACCUUUUACCAGGCACUGGCUUAAGGAGCUGGAGACUUCUCUUUAUGGAAUUAGUUCUCUCUAAAACUCUGAGCCAUCAUACAAACCUGGCCAUUCAUGGUGAAUUUUUUUUUAAAGAUUUAAAAAAAAAGAUUAUCUAGAAAAGAUCGUCCUGAAUGAGGUAUCCCAGAAGCAGAAAAACACACAUGGUAUAUACUCACUUAUAAGUGGAUAUUAGGCAGAUAAUAUAGGAUAAUCAUAUUAAAAUCUGUACACCUAAAGAAGCUAAGCAAGAAGGAAGACUCCGGGUAAGAUGCUCAAUCUUCAUUCAGAAAGACAAACGGGAUAAGAUGGAAGAAGAAGAUAAGAUUGGAAGAAGAUGAAAACAAGGAACAAAACAGGAGACUGCAACAGAGAGCCUCUGAAAGACACUUCCCAGCAGGGUGUUAAAGCAGAUGCUGAGACUCAUAGCUAAACUUUGGGCAGAGUUCAGGGAAUCUUAUGAAAGAAGGGGAAGAUAGAAAGACCUGGAAGGGUCUGGAGCGCCACAAGGAGAACAACAGAACCAAAAAAAUCUGGGCCUAGGGGUCUUUCUGAGACUGAUAUUUCAACCAAAAACCAAUAAUUGAGAUAACCUAGAACCCCUGCACAGAGGUAGCACAUGGCAGCUCAGUCUCCAAAUGGGCUUCCUAGUAAGGGUACAGGAGCUGUCUCAGACAUGAAGUCAAUGGCUGGCUCUUUGAGCACCUCCCCUGAGGGGGGAGCAGCCUUACCAGGCCACAGAGAAAAACUAUGAAAGACAGUCCUGAUGAGACCUGGUAGGCUAGGGUCAGAUGAAGGGGAGGAAGUCUUCCACUAUCAGUGGACUGGGG